rnacentral:misc_RNA from 1 species
GCGUCGUCGAUAAUCAUAAUUGGAUUGUUUGUUAUUAAAUAAAUAUAAUACUAUACUAGUUUUAUACCCGACUUUCAUUGUAUAUUUUUAAAGUGGAUGUCUAAAUCGAAUGUAUGAAAAUCUCGUAUUACUGUGUUUAUGUGUCUACUUCUUUGAAACGUCUCGACAGAUUUUUAAUUACUACUUAAUUACGCCCAGACCAGGACUAACAUUUGUAUGGUCGAUACAAAUGUCUGUCGUGAGCGGGAAUCGAACCCGCGACCGCCAACAUCACAGCCAGUGCUAUUACCGCGGCGCCAACGCGUCGUCAUAUAGUUUUUUUAUUUAUAUGUCAAAAUAAAGAUGAAAUAAAAUUCUAGAAUGCUCGACAGAAGGUACUAAACUAAAAACUGGAUUGACGCUAGCGGACACCGUAAAUAUAUGUAUGAACCAUACAUAUAUUUUUUCUAGAUUUAGAAAUUUGUGCUUGUGUAUGUUAUUA